GGAAAUCCCGAGGGGUUUGACACUUUUCAUCCUCCAGCCAUUAAUCAUUUUGUAGAGAAAGGCUAUAUAUUGGUGGGAAUAAAAACAAGCAGUUCCUGGCCGGUGAUACUCCAGUUAAGGGUGUCUGACUGACAGCAUGUUGGCACCAGCAUUGAAGGAAGUGAUGGGCUUUCGCUCCAGGUUCCUGUCCUGAGACCACAGCAGGAUGUGCCUUGGACAAAGGCUUAAAUUCCUGGGAUCAUCUGGUGACUUCAAGAAUCUGGU